rnacentral:rRNA from 1 species
CCCUUAGAGUUUGAUCCUGGCUCAGGAUGAACGCUGGCGGCGUGCUUAACACAUGCAAGUCGAGCGAAGCGGUUUCGAUGAAGUUUUCGGAUGGAAUUGAAAUCGACUUAGCGGCGGACGGGUGAGUAACGCGUGGGUAACCUGCCUUACACUGGGGGAUAACAGUUAGAAAUGACUGCUAAUACCGCAUAAGCACACAGGGCCGCAUGGUCUGGUGUGAAAAACUCCGGUGGUGUAAGAUGGACCCGCGUCUGAUUAGGUAGUUGGUGGGGUAACGGCCCACCAAGCCGACGAUCAGUAGCCGACCUGAGAGGGUGACCGGCCACAUUGGGACUGAGACACGGCCCAAACUCCUACGGGAGGCAGCAGUGGGGAAUAUUGGACAAUGGGCGAAAGCCUGAUCCAGCGACGCCGCGUGAGUGAAGAAGUAUUUCGGUAUGUAAAGCUCUAUCAG